AGAGAGAGAGAAUGGCAAAACGAAAAGUUGCAUAUCUUAUGGUUCAACAAAUUUUGAGCAUAAUAUGCUUGAUUUUAAUAACGAAUUUAGGGGCAAUGGCAAUGGAUCCUUUAAAUAUACCACAUUGUUUGGGACCUUGUUCAACAGUUGAAAACUGUUUCCAUGACUGUGUUGCCCAAGGUUUCCCCAAGGGAGGUACCUGCAUAGGAAUUACGCUAGCACAUAUGGAUUGUUGUUGCAAAUGGAGCUGAAAUCCACCCUUUUUUCUCAUUAAUGUCCCAUCUCCGUCUUCAUAACUUGUUCUUGAGAUUUUAUCAAUUAAUAAAGUGAUUUACUCCUUUUUUUCUCUA